rnacentral:lncRNA from 1 species
UAUGGCCCUUACAAUUCUUCUGCCUCAUCUUCUGCAGAGUUCCCUAAGCCCUGAGUAGAGAGGGGUUUGCUGAAGAUGUUCUGUUUAGAACUGAAUGUUCCAGAAUCUGUCACUUUCUGCACGCUGUCCAGUUGGGGGUCUCCAUGCUAGUUCCUAGCUAUGGCAAGAGGAAGCUUCUCUGCUGAUGGCUGAAUGAGGCACGGGCUCUAUGGGGACUGCAGAAUGCUGCCUGCCAGGAGUUAUUUUAUUGCUAGGUUUCUUUAGCAGAACAAUCGUCUUUGGUUUCUCCUGGGGUCCAUGACCCAUCUAGCUUCAAGUUCUUAGUUACCCAAGCAGUAUUGGAUAUCAGGUGUCAUGAUAGGUUCUGUUUCACGGAAUGGGUCUUAUGUCCAAUUACAGAGUGGCUGGUUAGUCCCACAACAUUUGUGCCACUAUUGUAUAAGCUCUUGCCAGUGUGUGCCAAUACUGGCUUAGAAAAUGUGAACAGUAUUAAAAAAAAUAAAUGUACUGUCUUCUCUAUCAAAGGAUUAAAUAAGAUAGAUUUUUAUUAAUAAAAAAGGGUAAAGAAGCC